rnacentral:rRNA from 1 species
UACGUAGGGGGCAAGCGUUGUCCGGAAUCAUUGGGCGUAAAGAGCGUGUAGGCGGCUUGGUAAGUCCGAUGUGAAAUCCCCGGGCUCAACCUGGGAAUGGCAUUGGAUACUGGCUCGCUAGAGUGCGGUAGAGGGUGGUGGAAUUCCCGGUGUAGCAGUGAAAUGCGUAGAGAUCGGGAGGAACAUCUGUGGCGAAGGCGGCCACCUGGACCAACACUGACACUGAGGCACGAAAGCGUGGGGAGCAAACAGG